ACCGUCGACGACCGCGCACGAGAGGUCCGCCGCGCCGGCCGGCACUAGCACCGGGAGGGCCUUUUUUUUAAGUUAGAAAAUUAAGUUAUAUUUUUAUGAUAGAUUUUUAAGUUAGAUUGUUUAGUUAGAAAAUUAAGUUAUAUUUUUAAGUUAGAUUUUUUAGUUAGAUUGUUAAGUUAGAUUUUUAAGUUAUAUUUUUAAGUUAGAUUUUUAAGUUAGAUUGUUUUUAAGUUAGAUUGUUUUUAAGUUAGAUUUUUUUAAGUUAGAUUUUUGUAUAUGUGUCCCCUCCACCGUCCCGCCGCCGUGACCGCCGCCGUCACAACUUAGUAGGCACCGCCCGUGGUUCCGGGGAACCGUCCCCGCCUCUGCCGUAUCGCCGCCCUGACCACCGCCGUCACAACCUAGGCACCGCCCGUGGUUCCGGGGAACCGUCCCCGCCUCCGCCGUACCGCCGCCCUGACCACCGCCGUCACAACCUAGGCACCGCAUGUGGUUAUUGCUAGAAAUUCGUAGAAAUUUGUAGAAACUUGUAGAAAUUCGUAGAAAUUCAUAGAAAUUCGUAGAAAUUUGUAGAAAUUCGUAGAAAUUUGUAUAAAUAUUCCGGACUUUGUAGGAUUCAUGUUAUUUUAUGAUUUCAUUAUAUACAUGUAUGAUUCCGGACUUUGUAGGACUUUGUAGAAAUUUGUAGUAAGACGAUUUCUAUGACUGUCAUGUAUGAUUCCAUGUAUGUUUCAAUCAAUAGUUGAAAUGGCAGACGAUGAGACCGCAAGGUAUAUCAUGGAGCAGAUAAUCGCUGGUGAUGGUAGUGGCGACAACGUUCCACUAUCGUACAUGGAUGAAGAGGGC
rnacentral:lncRNA from 1 species